rnacentral:rRNA from 1 species
GGCGGUGGUUUAACUAAUCAGAGGAAUUUACCCCAUAACCGAUAACCCCCGUUGCAUUAUACUUAGAUUUGUAGUCAGCGUUGUAUACCGCCGUCAGCAGGAAAUUUUUAGAAAGUAUUUUCAGGAAUUUAGGAAAAAAUAUGUCAGGUCAAGGUGCAGUUUAUGUCUAAGGGGCGGUGAAUUACAAUAAAGAAAAUUAAUACGGAGAGCUUAAUGAAAUUUUAGCAUGAAGGUGGAUU